UACGUAGGGGGCAAGCGUUGUCCGGAUUUAUUGGGCGUAAAGAGCGUGUAGGCGGCCAAGCAGGUCCGCUGUGAAAACUCGAGGCUCAACCUCGAGACGUCGGUGGAAACCGUUUGGCUAGAGUCCGGAAGAGGAGAGUGGAAUUCCUGGUGUAGCGGUGAAAUGCGCAGAUAUCAGGAGGAACACCGAUGGCGAAGGCAGGUCUCUGGGCCACUACUGACGCUGAGAAGCGAAAGCAUGGGGAGCGAACAGG
rnacentral:rRNA from 1 species